GACGAACUGCCCCAAACGUUUGUUCGGAAUCACUGGGCUUAAAGGGCGCGUAGGCGGCAGAUCAAGUCAGGGGUGAAAUCCGGCAGCUCAACUGUCGAAGUGCCUUUGAUACUGAUUUGCUCGAGGGAUAUAGGGGUCUGUGGAACUUCUGGUGGAGCGGUGAAAUGCGUUGAUAUCAGAAGGAACGCCGGUGGCGAAAGCGACGGACUGGAUAUCUUCUGACGCUGAGGCGCGAAAGCUAGGGGAGCAAACGGG
rnacentral:rRNA from 1 species